AUUUAGCCCCGACAGGAGUGACAUCCCGAUUAUUCGGAAUAAAACGUAGGGCGGGAAUAUGG
rnacentral:sRNA from 1 species